rnacentral:rRNA from 1 species
GUGGGGAAUAUUGGACAAUGGGCGAAAGCCUGAUCCAGCCAUGCCGCGUGUGUGAAGAAGGUCUUCGGAUUGUAAAGCACUUUAAGUUGGGAGGAAGGGUAGUAACCUAAUACGUUGCUACUUUGACGUUACCGACAGAAUAAGCACCGGCUAACUUCGUGCCAGCAGCCGCGGUAAUACGAAGGGUGCAAGCGUUAAUCGGAAUUACUGGGCGUAAAGCGCGCGUAGGUGGUUCAGGAAGUUGGAAGUGAAAUCCCCGGGCUCAACCUGGGAACUGCUUUCAAAACUGCUGAGCUAGAGUACGGUAGAGGGUGGUGGAAUUUCCUGUGUAGCGGUGAAAUGCGUAGAUAUAGGAAGGAACACCAGUGGCGAAGGCGACCACCUGGACUGAUACUGACACUGAGGUGCGAAAGCGUGGGGAGCAAACAGGAUUAGAAACCCCAGUAGUCC